rnacentral:rRNA from 1 species
GAGUGGCGGACGGGUGAGUAACACGUGGGUAACCUGCCCUAAAGUGGGGGAUAACAUUUGGAAACAGAUGCUAAUACCGCAUAAAACCUAACACCGCAUGGUGUAGGGUUGAAAGAUGGUUUCGGCUAUCACUUUAGGAUGGACCCGCGGUGCAUUAGUUAGUUGGUGAGGUAAAGGCUCACCAAGACCGUGAUGCAUAGCCGACCUGAGAGGGUAAUCGGCCACACUGGGACUGAGACACGGCCCAGACUCCUACGGGAGGCAGCAGUAGGGAAUCUUCCACAAUGGACGAAAGUCUGAUGGAGCAACGCCGCGUGAGUGAAGAAGGUUUUCGGAUCGUAAAACUCUGUUGUUGGAGAAGAAUGUAUCUGAUAGUAACUGAUCAGGUAGUGACGGUAUCCAACCAGAAAGCCACGGCUAACUACGUGCCAGCAGCCGCGGUAAUACGUAGGUGGCAAGCGUUGUCCGGAUUUAUUGGGCGUAAAGCGAGCGCAGGCGGUUUCUUAAGUCUGAUGUGAAAGCCUUCGGCUCAACCGAAGAAGUGCAUCGGAAACUGGGAAACUUGAGUGCAGAAGAGGACAGUGGAACUCCAUGUGUAGCGGUGAAAUGCGUAGAUAUAUGGAAGAACACCAGUGGCGAAGGCGGCUGUCUGGUCUGUAACUGACGCUGAGGCUCGAAAGCAUGGGUAGCAAACAGGAUUAGAUACCCUGGUAGUCCAUGCCGUAAACGAUGAGUGCUAGGUGUUGGAGGGUUUCCGCCCUUCAGUGCCGCAGCUAACGCAUUAAGCACUCCGCCUGGGGAAGUACGACCGCAAGGUUGAAACUCAAAGGAAUUGACGGGGGCCCGCACAAGCGGUGGAGCAUGUGGUUUAAUUCGAAGCAACGCGAAGAACCUUACCAGGUCUUGACAUCCUUUGACCACUCUAGAGAUAGAGCUUUCCCUUCGGGGACAAAGUGACAGGUGGUGCAUGGUUGUCGUCAGCUCGUGUCGUGAGAUGUUGGGUUAAGUCCCGCAACGAGCGCAACCCUUAUUACUAGUUGCCAGCAUUUAGUUGGGCACUCUAGUGAGACUGCCGGUGACAAACCGGAGGAAGGUGGGGACGACGUCAAAUCAUCAUGCCCCUUAUGACCUGGGCUACACACGUGCUACAAUGGAUGGUACAACGAGUUGCGAGACCGCGAGGUUUAGCUAAUCUCUUAAAACCAUUCUCAGUUCGGAUUGUAGGCUGCAACUCGCCUACAUGAAGCCGGAAUCGCUAGUAAUCGCGGAUCAGCAUGCCGCGGUGAAUACGUUCCCGGGCCUUGUACACACCGCCCGUCACACCAUGAGAGUUUGUAACACCCAAAGCCGGUGAGGUAACCCUUCGGGGAGCCAGCCGUCUAAGG